rnacentral:rRNA from 1 species
CAGGACGAACGCUGGCGGCGUGCUUAACACAUGCAAGUCGAGCGGUAAGGCCCUUUGGGGUACACGAGCGGCGAACGGGUGAGUAACACGUGGGUGACCUGCCCCCUACUCUGGGAUAAGCCUGGGAAACUGGGUCUAAUACCGGAUAUGACCGUCUGUUGCAUGACGGGUGGUGGAAAGUGGUGUUUUUGGACACUGUCGGUGGGGGAUGGGCCCGCGGCCUAUCAGCUUGUUGGUGGGGUGAUGGCCUACCAAGGCGACGACGGGUAGCCGGCCUGAGAGGGCGACCGGCCACACUGGGACUGAGACACGGCCCAGACUCCUACGGGAGGCAGCGGUGGGGAAUAUUGCGCAAUGGGCGGAAGCCUGACGCAGCGACGCCGCGUGGGGGAUGACGGCCUUCGGGUUGUAAACCUCUUUCGGCCCCGACGAAGCUGUGUCGUUGAUUCGGCAGGGUGACGGUAGGGGUAGAAGAAGCACCGGCCAACUACGUGCCAGCAGCCGCGGUAACACGUAGGGUGCGAGCGUUGUCCGGAAUUAUUGGGCGUAAAGAGCUCGUAGGCGGAGUGUCGCGUCGGCCGUGAAAACCUGUGGCUUAACUGUGGGCUUGCGGUCGAUACGGGCAUCACUGGAGUUCGGCAGGGGAGACUGGAAUUCCUGGUGUAGCGGUGAAAUGCGCAGAUAUCAGGAGGAACACCGGUGGCGAAGGCGGGUCUCUGGGCCGAUACUGACGCUGAGGAGCGAAAGCGUGGGGAGCGAACAGGAUUAGAUACCCUGGUAGUCCACGCCGUAAACGUUGGGCGCUAGGUGUGGGGGCCAUUCCACGGUCUCUGUGCCGUAGCUAACGCAUUAAGCGCCCCGCCUGGGGGGUACGGCCGCAAGGCUAAAACUCAAAGGAA